rnacentral:rRNA from 1 species
GAAACAUUGUGGCUUUAAGACUGGAUAGGAAGAAAUAAGGCAUCUUAUUUCUUUUAAAAGACCUAGUAAUAGGUAUACUUUAGGAGGGGCUUGCGCCAUAUUAGUUAGUUGGUAGGGUAAUGGCCUACCAAGACGAUGAUGUGUAGCUGGACUGAGAGGUUGAACAGCCACAUUGGGAUUCUGAGACACGGCCCAAACUCCUACGGGAGGCAGCAGUAAGGAAUUUUCGGCAAUGGAGGAAACUUUCUGACCUUGAGCAACGCCGCGUGAACGACGAAGUACUUUGGUAUGUAAAGUUCUUUUAUCAUUAGGAAGAAAAGCAAGUGGCGAACCAUUUGUUUGCCGGUACUUGAUGAAUAAGCCCCGGCUAAUUAUGUGCCAGCAGCCUUGCGGUAAGACAUAAGGGGCAAGUGUUAUCCGGAAUUAUUGGGCGUAAAGGGUGCGUAGGCGGUCUAGUAAGUCAGUGGUGUAAUGGCAACGCUCAACGUUGUCCGGCUAUUGAAACUGCUAAACUUGAGUUAGAUAGAGGCGAGUGGAUUGGAUUCCAUGUUUGUAGCGGUAAAAUGCGUAAAUAUAUGGAGGAACACCAGAGGCUUGUAGGUUCGGCUCGCUGGGUCUUAACUGACGCUGAGGCACGAAAGCGUGGGGAGCAAACAGGAUUAGAUACCCUGGUAGUCCACGCAAAACGUAAACGAUGAGUACUAAUUGUGUCGGGUUAAACCGGUACUGAAGUUAACUUACAUUAUUUUUAGUUUACUCCGCCUGAGUAGUACGUACGCAAGUAUAAUUGAAACUUAAAGGAAUUGACGGGACUCCGCACAAGCGGUGGAUCAUGUUGUUUAAUUCGAAGAUACCCGAAAAACCUUACCAGGUCUUGACAUGUUUUUGCGAAACGUUGUAGUAAUAUCGUAGAGGUUAUCAGAAACACAGGUGGUGCAUGGUUGUUUUCGUCAGCUCGUGUCGUGAGAUGUUAGGUUAAGUCCUUUAAAACGUUAGCGAAACCCUUAUCGUUAGUUGCCAGCACGUUAUGGUGGGGACUUUAACGAGACUGCCAGUGAUAAACUGGAGGAAGGUGAGGAUCACGAAUUUUUCAAAUCAGCAUGCCCCUUAUGACCUGGGCUACAUUAACGUGAUACAAUGGCUGUUUUACAAAGGGUAGCUGAAACGUAAGUUCUUGGCCAAUCCCCAAAAACAGUCUCAGUCCGGAUUGAAGUCUGUUCAACUCCGUUAAAAAGACUUCAUGAAGUUGGAAUCGCUAGUAAUCGCGAAUCAGCAUGUCGCGGUGAAUACGUUCUCGGGGUUUGUACACACCGCCCGUCA